GCACUUCUAGGUCUUUUGCUCAUUUGACUGCCUUUCGCUUAGUGCCUGUGUUUUCCUGUUUUUGUGAUUUUUAGUCCAGUUAUUUUAUAGUUUUAUAUAUUUUGUUUAAUAGUUUUUUUUUCCAAACUAGGUAAGUUCAACUUUUCUUUUUGGGUUGUUUUGUUUAUGCUUGCCUGAGCUCACCUAAAGCUAAAUAUCAAUCUGUACAGAAGAGAAAAAAAACAUCUUAAAUUCCUUCUUGUCUCCCAAUUCCCUAUCUUGAUUCACGUCUGUCUCCUAUACCUCCUAGACCAGCUAAGGGGACAUAACAUCAGCGCCAUAUUUGGACAGAUAUGCACUAAUAUUAACUACUGUGACAUACAUUUGCUUAAAGAGGAGGGCCAAAUGCCUGCAGGAGGAGAACGCCAUGUUCUUGGCUUUCCAAAGCAACCCUGUAUGGAGUCCUGAGGUUGCGAACGAAGAAACAAGCAACAGAAAUCCUGCAAGUUUGAGACCACAUGUUCGGUUAACGCUAAGUUAACAGAAUCAGGGCUGGUUUGUGUUAGUUGGUAAAUGAGCCCGUUUCAAACACUUGGUUGCAUUAAAAAUAUUAGUCUAAGCUAAGCAUUAUAUUACACCUGUGUACCAGUAUUAUAUUACAUAACUACAAGUUUCUUAUGACACCCUACUCAGUUGAAAAUGUCAUUGAAUUUGAGUUUCUUCCAAACUUUACAACUAUUUAAUUAAGAGUCCAAAAUGACAAUAAAGUUUCUAAUUUAAGAGCA